GCGGCGUGCUUAACACAUGCAAGUCGAACGAGGUCCAACCUUCGGGUGAAGACCGAGUGGCGAACGGGUGAGUAACACGUGGGGAACCUGCCCUUCUCUCUGGGAUAACUCCGGGAAACCGGAGCUAAUACCGGAUACUCCUUGCGGACCGCAUGGUCUGCUCGGGAAAGCUCCGGCGGAGAAGGAUGGCCCCGCGGCCCAUUAGCUUGUUGGUGGGGUAACGGCCCACCAAGGCGACGAUGGGUAGCCGAGCUGAGAGGCUGAUCGGCCACACUGGGACUGAGACACGGCCCAGACUCCUACGGGAGGCAGCAGUGGGGAAUCUUGCGCAAUGGGCGAAAGCCUGACGCAGCAACGCCGCGUGCGGGAUGAAGGCUCUCGGGUCGUAAACCGCUUUCAGCAGGGAUGAAAAUGACAGUACCUGCAGAAGAAGCCCCGGCUAAAUACGUGCCAGCAGCCGCGGUAAUACGUAUGGGGCAAGCGUUAUCCGGAUUCAUUGGGCGUAAAGCGCGCGUAGGCGGCUUGUUAAGUCAGGCGUGAAAUCCGGGGGCUCAACCCGCGGCUUGCGUCUGAAACUGGCAGGCUUGAGUCUGGUAGAGGAAAGUGGAAUUCCUGGUGUAGCGGUGAAAUGCGCAGAUAUCAGGAGGAACACCAGUGGCGAAGGCGGCUUUCUGGGCCACGACUGACGCUGAGGCGCGAAAGCUAGGGGAGCGAACAGGAUUAGAUACCCUGGUAGUCCUAGCCGUAAACGAUGGGCACUAGGUGUGGGGGGUCAUCGACUCCCUCCGUGCCGAAGCUAACGCAUUAAGUGCCCCGCCUGGGGAGUACGGNCGCAAGGCUAAAACU
rnacentral:rRNA from 1 species